UACGUAGGGGGCAAGCGUUGUCCGGAAUCAUUGGGCGUAAAGAGCGUGUAGGCGGCCCGAUAAGUCCGCUGUGAAAGUCCAGGGCUCAACCCUGGGAUGCCGGUGGAUACUGUCGGGCUCGAGUCCGGAAGAGGAGUGUGGAAUUCCUGGUGUAGCGGUGAAAUGCGCAGAUAUCAGGAGGAACACCAAUGGCGAAGGCGGCUUCCUGGCCUGUUCUUGACGCUGAGGCGCGAAAGCUAGGGGAGCAAACGGG
rnacentral:rRNA from 1 species